rnacentral:rRNA from 1 species
UACAGAGGGUGCGAGCGUUAAUCGGAAUUACUGGGCGUAAAGCGUGCGUAGACGGUUAUUUAAGUCGGAUGUGAAAGCCCCGGGCUCAACCUGGGAAUUGCAUUCGAGACUGAAUAGCUAGGGUGCGGUAGAGGGAAGCGGAAUUUCCGGUGUAGCGGUGAAAUGCGUAGAUAUCGGAAGGAACAUCAGUGGCGAAAGCGGCUUCCUGGACCAGCACCGACGUUCAGGCACGAAAGCGUGGGGAGCAAAAGGG